rnacentral:lncRNA from 1 species
GCCCCACGAGUCUAUCCAGCAUUUGAUCAAAAAAUGGUAAAGGAAAGUGGUCUUUCCUAGUCGCCUUGUUCAACUUAUAAUAACCAAUUCAAAUUUAUCAUCUCAUAACCGUUUUGGUUGGUAUUAGCUCAUUAUUCUCAUUCUCAACAACCUUGAUACUUCCUUUCUUUGUCACACACUAGACCGGACUUACCUGUAAACUAUCUGAGAUAGGGUAAAUUAUACCUACAUCUAACCACUUAAUGAUUUCCUUUUUUACCAUGUCCUUCAUGAUGGGGUUCAGCCUCCAUUGUCCAUCAAUCAUCCCCUUUUCGCCAUUUUCUAGGAUGAUCUUGUGCAUGCAUACAGACGGACUAAUGCCACAAAUAUCGACUAUGGUCCAUCCAAUAGCCUUCUUAAAUUGUUUCAAUACUAGGAUGAGUUUCUCUACUUGCUCUUCAAUCAACUCUACUAAAACAAUCAUAGGCAAAGUAGAAGCGUUACUUAAAUAAACAUAUUUUAAAUGUGAGGUAAGUACCUUUAGUUCUAAUUUAG